rnacentral:rRNA from 1 species
AUUGAACGCUGGCGGCAUGCCUUACACACGCAAGUCGAACGGCAGCACGGGUGCUUGCACCUGGUGGCGAGUGGCGAACGGGUGAGUAAUACAUCGGAACAUGUCCUGUAGUGGGGGAUAGCCCGGCGAAAGCCGGAUUAAUACCGCAUACGAUCUACGGAUGAAAGCGGGGGACCUUCGGGCCUCGCGCUAUAGGGUUGGCCGAUAGCUGAUUAGCUAGUUGGUGGGGUAAAGGCCUACCAAGGCGACGAUCAGUAGCUGGUCUGAGAGGACGACCAGCCACACUGGGACUGAGACACGGCCCAGACUCCUACGGGAGGCAGCAGUGGGGAAUUUUGGACAAUGGGCGAAAGCCUGAUCCAGCAAUGCCGCGUGUGUGAAGAAGGCCUUCGGGUUGUAAAGCACUUUUGUCCGGAAAGAAAUCCUUGGCUCUAAUACAGUCGGGGGAUGACGGUACCGGAAGAAUAAGCACCGGCUAACUACGUG